rnacentral:rRNA from 1 species
AGCAGCCGCGGUAAUUCCAGCUCCAAUAGCGUAUAUUAAAGUUGUUGCAGUUAAAAAAGCUCGUAGUUGAAUUUCGGGAUCAGUAGGUCGGUCAUGCCUCUGGUAUGUACUGGUCCCACUGGUUCCUCCUUCCUGAUGAACCGUAAUGCCAUUAAUUUGGUGUUGCGGGGAAACUGGACUGUUACUUUGAAAAAAUUAGAGUGUUUAAAGCAGGCUAACGCUUGAAUACAUUAGCAUGGAAUAAUGAAAUAGGACGAUCGAUCCUAUUUUGUUGGUUUCUAGGAUUGACGUAAUGAUUAAUAGGGAUAGUUGGGGGCAUUAGUAUUCAAUUGUCAGAGGUGAAAUUCUUGGAUUUAUUGAAGACUAACUACUGCGAAAGCAUUUGCCAAGGAUGUUUUCAUUAAUCAAGAACGAAAGUUGGGGGAUCGAAGACGAUCAGAUACCGUCGUAGUCUUAACCAUAAACUAUGCCGACUAGGGAUCGGAUGAUGUUAAUUUUAUAAUGACUCAUUCGGCGUACC